CCUGUUUCCUCCUUCCGCCCCCCCCCGCCAGUGAAGGAUAUCCCGGCACAAUUAAUAAGCUAACAGGCUUUGCCUUGAGACGACGAGAGGAACCAGGGAACCUUCCCGAUCCAGAUACAACGCACUGUCCCAUAGUCAGAGCCAAGAUGGCGACUGUGGUGCUGACUAGGACGACACACGGCCUGCUGGAAAAUUUCGAACACUCUUCAGCGACUUCUGGCAGAAGCUGUGGCGCAGAGGGCCACAGACUCAGGGGAAGUGGAAGAAGACAGAGGAGCGGC